AACGAACGCUGGCGGCAUGCCUAACACAUGCAAGUCGAACGAGACCUUCGGGUCUAGUGGCGCACGGGUGCGUAACGCGUGGGAACCUGCCCUUAGGUUCGGAAUAACUCCCCGAAAGGGGUGCUAAUACCGGAUAAUGUCUUCGGACCAAAGAUUUAUCGCCUUUGGAUGGGCCCGCGUUGGAUUAGCUAGUUGGUAGGGUAAAAGCCUACCAAGGCGACGAUCCAUAGCUGGUCUGAGAGGAUGAUCAGCCACACUGGGACUGAGACACGGCCCAGACUCCUACGGGAGGCAGCAGUGGGGAAUAUUGGACAAUGGGCGAAAGCCUGAUCCAUCAAUGCCGCGUGAGUGAUGAAGGCCUUAGGGUUGUAAAGCUCUUUUACCCGGGAUGAUAAUGACAGUACCGGGAGAAUAAGCUCCGGCUAACUCCGUG
rnacentral:rRNA from 1 species